UGCGGUUGGCUCGCUUCUCAUUCGCCCCUCUCGUUCCCCUCUCUCUCUCGCCCCCGAUUGAACCCUAGCCGCCGCUCGCCGCUGGCCGUCCUCGACUAGAGAGGGAGGGCGCCGCCAUCGCCACCAGUCCACCAUGGCCGCCUCCUCCUCGCUCCGGAUCCCCGCACCAACCAACCACCCCGCCGCGGGGGCGCGUCCGCGGCGGCUGCCCUUCCACGCCGUCUCCGUCCGCCCCCGCCGCUCCGCAGUCUCCUCUGCCUCCGCCACCUCCUCCCCGCAGCAGCCGCCGGCACCGGGCGACGGCGACGACGCCAACAGGCCCACCGGUGUGCCCGUGCCCUAGCCCUUCUCCCGCGACGCCGGGUAUCACGCUGCCUCGGCCGUUGACGAGCACGGAUCUGAUGGGGCAAGCCAGGGGGAAGGCCUCAGGUUCGCUUACCAGGUCCUUUUUUCUCCUCUCUUCUUCUGAGAUACACUGACGAUAAUCAUGGUGAUGAAUGAUUCUGACGAUGAUGCAACGCAACUCUGACCAACCAAUCUUAGGGGUGCCCGGGCACCGCGGAUCUGCAGGUCGAGCCUUCUCCUCCUCUCUGCUCCUCUUAUGGAGAUUGGCCAAUGAGUGCCUUUUUUAUGUCUUGCUCCUGGUAGAGAGUAAGACUAUUAUUCUCUCUGUGCGCUUAAUUUUGGUCGUUCCUUGCCUUCCUUGCUUGUUUUUUACUGGUGUAUAAAUAUGUGCCUUUUCCUCCUGGUAGGGCCUAGGGUUGCUGCUUUUGUUCCUUUCCUUGCUUUAUUUGUUUGCUUCUAUAUUUUGUCCAUGGUCUUAGUAGCAGCCUAUUGAAUCAUUUUGUUUUCUUGUAUGCCUUUGUUGUGUUGCUGAGGCUACCAAACAAAGCAAUGGCAUGCAUCUGGUGCAAGACAAUUAUUAUAGUCUGCCAUGCAGCUAGGGUGGAUAUGUUUUUUGGAAGAGCGGGGAUCGAAAGGAAGAUGUUACUAUCAAGGGAGCCUGAAGAGCGAAGCUAGAAGCAGCAUGGGGAGCAGCUAAGGAGACAUCAACACUCAUUAUGAGAACUGACUUAUGUAAGAGAUGACGGCACAAAACUUGAAACCACAAAGACUUCACGUCCACUGUACGUCGUUCGCUUGGUUGCCACCAUGGGAAAGGGGUUAGUUAGGGUUUGUUGUCAGGGUCCAUUCCUCCUUCGGAUUGGCCGUCCUUCCUCUUUCAGAUCGAGACUCUGAAAGAUACUCUCCUAAAUGUCUCUGAAUAUGGAAGCUAUAUAUCAUCCAAGUACAGUUUCGAGUGGAAGGACGUCGAGCUGACGAGAACCGCUGGUGAUGGUGGUGAGGAGGACACCAUCAACGGAGCGGUGAGGACGAUUCACAGCUCAAUGCGCUUGGCGAGGGGAGACCAUUGGACGGCCCACGGUCGCCGUGUCCCAAAGAGUUUUACUCAUGAGACGCCGAUGAUUGAUGGAGCAGGACCUAACCAAACUUGAUGUUACAAGCUACACCCGUUGUCACCUGAAGUUAUCUCACGCCAAGCGAGGAUCAACAUUGGUGAUGCCUUAUAGUACAGGCUGUAGAACUGCAUUGUCAAAUUUUGAGGCAGAGCUGGACUAUAGGUAUGUUUCAGAUCCAACAAUCAUGGUGUCUUUCCCUAUUAUCGAUGAUGCGGACAAUGCAUCUCUUGUCGCAUGGACCACAACUCCCUGAACUCUCCCAAGCAAUCUAGCAUUAUGUGUCAAUGCCAAUCUUGUGUAUGCCAAGUGACCAUUGUUUAGCCCCAACGUCCGUCCCGCUAUGUCCCAGCCUCAUUGAGGGAGUCCUGGACUAAGGGGUCCUCGGGCGUCCGGCCUGUUAUCCAUGGGCUGGACUGAUGGGCUAUGAAGACAUGAAGGCCGAAGACUGUACCCGUGUCCGGAUUGGACUCUCCUUGGCGUGGAAGGCAAGCUUGGCGACCGACUAUGAAGAUUCCUUCUUAUGUAACCGACAAUAUGUAAACCCUAGAUCCCUCCGGUGCCUAUAUAAACCGGAGGAGGUAGUCCGGAAAGGAGAGAUACACAUUACCAUAGUCAUACAGGCUAGACUUCUAGGGUUUAGCCAUUACGAUCUCGUGGUAGAUCAACUCUUGUAACACUCAUAUUCAUUAAGAUCA